GCGGGCGUGGCGGAACGGCAGACGCGCCGGGCUUAGAACCCGGUGGGCUCAACACCCGUGCAGGUUCAACUCCUGUCGCCCGCA
rnacentral:tRNA from 1 species